GACGUAGGGCGCGAGCGUUGUCCGGAUUUAUUGGGCGUAAAGAGCUCGUAGGCGGCUUGUUGCGUCGUUCGUGAAAUCCCGUGGCUCAACUGCGGGCUUGCGGACGAUACGGGCAGGCUAGAAUUCGGUAGGGGAGACUGGAAUUCCCGGUGUAGUGGUGAAAUGCGUAGAUAUCGGGAGGAACACCAGUGGCGAAGGCGGCUACCUGGCCCACUCUUGACGCUGAGGCGCGAAAGCUAGGGGAGCAAACGGG
rnacentral:rRNA from 1 species